ACGGGAGGCAGCAGUGGGGAAUAUUGGGCAAUGGGCGAAAGCCUGACCCAGCCACGCCGCGUGAAGGAAGAAGGUCUUCGGAUUGUAAACUUCUUUUAUGAGGGACGAAGGACGUGACGGUACCUCAUGAAUAAGCCACGGCUAACUACGUGCCAGAAGCCGCGGUAAUACGUAGGUGGCAAGAGUUAUCCGGAUUUACUGGUGUAAAGGGCGCGUAGGCGGGGAUGCAAGUCAGAUGUGAAAUCUAUGGGCUUAACUCAUAAACUGCAUUUGAAACUGUGUCUCUUGAGUGUCGGAGAGGUAGAUGGAAUUCCUUGUGUAGCGGUGAAAUGCGUAGAUAUAAGGAAGAACACCAGUGGCGAAGGCGAUCUACUGGACGAUAACUGACGCUGAGGCGCGAAAGCGUGGGGAGCAAACAGGAUUAGAUACCCUGGUA
rnacentral:rRNA from 1 species